rnacentral:rRNA from 1 species
CCUACGGGUGGCAGCAGUGAGGAAUAUUGGUCAAUGGACGCGAGCCUGAACCAGCCAAGUAGCGUGAAGGAUGACUGCCCUACGGGUUGUAAACUUCUUUUAUAAGGGGAUAAUGUGAGGCACGUGUGCCUUUUUGUAUGUACUUUAUGAAUAAGGAUCGGCUAACUCCGUGCCAGCAGCCGCGGUAAUACGGAGGAUCCGAGCGUUAUCCGGAUUUAUUGGGUUUAAAGGGAGCGUAGGUGGUUUGUUAAGUUAGUUGUGAAAGCUUGCUGCUCAACCGUGAAAUUGCCUUUGAUACUGUCUGACUAGAGUGUAGUUGCGGAAGGCGGAAUGUGUGGUGUAGCGGUGAAAUGCUUAGAUAUCACACAGAACACCGAUUGCGAAGGCAGCUUUCCAAGCUAUUACUGACACUGAUGCACGAAAGUGUGGGUAGCGAACAGGAUUAGAUACCCGUGUAGUC